rnacentral:rRNA from 1 species
CGAUUCUGGCUCAGGAUGAACGCUAGCGAUAGGCUUAACACAUGCAAGGUCGAGGGGCAGCACGGUGUAGCAAUACACUGGUGGCGACCGGCGUACGGGUGCGUAACACGUAUGCAACCUACCCGCUAUGGGGGAUAACCCGGCGAAAGUCGGACUAAUACCCCAUAUUAUUCUUACCGGGCAUCCGGUAGGUCUGAAAGAUUUAUCGAUUGCGGAUGGGCAUGCGGAUGAUUAGCUAGUAGGUGGGGUAACGGCUCACCUAGGCGACGAUCAUUAGGGGUUCUGAGAGGAAGGUCCCCCCACACUGGAACUGAGACACGGUCCAGACUCCUACGGGAGGCAGCAGUGAGGAAUAUUGGUCAAUGGGCGCUAGCCUGAACCAGCCAAGUCGCGUGAAGGAUGAACCAGAUCUAUGGUUUGUAAACUUCUUUUGCAGGGGAGUAAAGUGCGACACGUGUGUUGUAUUGCAAGUACCCUGCGAAUAAGCAUCGGCUAACUCCGUGCCAGCCGCCGC